UGCUUUACACAUGCAAGUCGAACGGCAGCACAGCAGAGGUAACUCUGUGGGUGGCGAGUGGCGAACGGGUGAGUAAUACAUCGGAACGUACCCUGUUGUGGGGGAUAACUACGCGAAAGCGUAGCUAAUACCGCAUACGCCCUGAGGGGGAAAGCGGGGGGACCCUAAAUAGAGCGCACUGGGGAGUGCGUUGUAUUUAGGGCCUCGCGCAAUAGGAGCGGCCGAUGUCGGAUUAGCUAGUUGGUGAGGUAAAGGCUUACCAAGGCGACGAUCCGUAGCUGGUCUGAGAGGAUGAUCAGCCACACUGGGACUGAGACACGGCCCAGACUCCUACGGGAGGCAGCAGUGGGGAAUUUUGGACAAUGGGGGCAACCCUGAUCCAGCCAUGCCGCGUGAGUGAAGAAGGCCUUCGGGUUGUAAAGCUCUUUCGGACGGAAAGAAAUCGCGCAGGUGAAUAAUCUGCGUGGAUGACGGUACCGUAAGAAGAAGCACCGGCUAACUACGUG
rnacentral:rRNA from 1 species